AGCCUUGUAGCUCAAUCAGCAGAGCAUCCGCCUUUGAAGCGGAGAGUUGGUGGUGCAGCGCCAAAGCGUGAUAGCGCGUUAUCAUGAGGUGCGGAGCAGACUUCGCACAUCGGCAGGAGCCGCAACUCCACCCGAGGCUG
rnacentral:tRNA from 1 species